rnacentral:rRNA from 1 species
ACAAGCGGUGGAGGCAUGUGGUUAAUUCGAUGAUACGCGAGACCUUACCGGGUUUGACAUGCAGGUGAUCGCCCGUUGUAAACGACGGUUUCCUCUUCGGAGGCACCUGCACAGGUGCUGCAUGGCUGUCGUCAGCUCGUGUCGUGAGAUGUUGGGUUAAGUCCCGCAACGAGCGCAACCCUUAUCCCCAGUUGCCAUCAGGUAAAGCUGGGAACUCUGGGGAGACUGCCGGUGAUAAACCGGAGGAAGGCGGGGAUGACGUCAAGUCCUCAUGGCCCUUACAUCCCGGGCUACACACGUGCUACAAUGGCAGGUACAGAGGGCUGCGAAGCCGCGAGGUGGAGCGAAUCCCAGAAAACCUGUCUCAGUCCGGAUUGAAGUCUGCAACUCGACUUCAUGAAGGCGGAAUCGCUAGUAACCGCGAAUCAGCAGGUCGCGGUGAAUACGUUCCCGGGUCUU